CCAAUAGCGUAUAUUAAAGUUGUUGCAGUUAAAAAGCUCGUAGUUGAAUUUCGGGAUCAAGUCGUCGGUCGUGCUCAGGUACGUACUGGCGUCAUUGAUUUCUCCCUUCUGACGAACCAUGAUGUCAUUAAUUUGGUGUUAUGGGAAAUCAGGACUGUUACUUUGAAAAAAUUAGAGUGUUUAAAGCAGGCUCACGCUUGAAUACAUUAGCAUGGAAUAAUGAAAUAGGACGUUCGAUCCUAUUUUGUUGGUUUUAGGAUCAACGUAAUGAUUAAUAGGGAUAGUUGGGUGCAUUAGUAUUCAAUUGUCAGAGGUGAAAUUCUUGGAUUUAUUGAAGACUAACUACUGCGAAAGCAUUUGCCAAGGAUGUUUUCAUUAAUCAAGAACGAAAGUUAGGGGAUCGAAGACGAUCAGAUACCGUCGUAGUCUUAACCAUAAACUAUGCCGACUAGGGAUCGGAUGAUGUUAAUUUUUUAAUGACUCAUUCGGCGCCUUACG
rnacentral:rRNA from 1 species